GGAGGUGAAUCUGUUGUUUCUGCCGGUUAUGCAAAGCAAUCUUUUCUAUGUUGUGUGUGUGGACUUUGUGAAUGAACGCGUUGACAUUAUUGAUAGUUCUGCUUCGACGGAGGCCACUUCGAAGAAGUAUGGUGACACUCCUGAUAAUAUGCAAUUAUUGUUGUUCGAGUUUUUCAA